GUCGUAACAAGGUCUCCGUAGGUGAACCUGCGGAGGGAUCAUUACACAAAUAUGAAGGCGGGCUGGAACCUCUCGGGGUUACAGCCUUGCUGAAUUACUCACCCUUGUCUUUUGCGUACUUCUUGUUUCCUUGGUGGGUUCGCCCACCACUAGGACAAACAUAAACCUUUUGUAAUUGCAAUCAGCGUCAGUAACAAAUUAAUAAUUACAACUUUCAACAACGGAUCUCUUGGUUCUGGCAUCGAUGAAGAACGCAGCGAAAUGCGAUAAGUAGUGUGAAUUGCAGAAUUCAGUGAAUCAUCGAAUCUUUGAACGCACAUUGCGCCCUUUGGUAUUCCAAAGGGCAUGCCUGUUCGAGCGUCAUUUGUACCCUCAAGCUUUGCUUGGUGUUGGGCGUCUUGUCUCUAGCUUUGCUGGAGACUCGCCUUAAAGUAAUUGGCAGCCGGCCUACUGGUUUCGGAGCGCAGCACAAGUCGCACUCUCUAUCAGCAAAGGUCUAGCAUCCAUUAAGCCUUUUUUUCAACUUUUGACCUCGGAUCAGGUAGGGAUACCCGCUGAACUUAAGCAUAUCA
rnacentral:rRNA from 1 species